GUCGACGUACUUCAUAGGAUCAUUUCUAUAGGUCACGUCCCUCUUUGACUCUUCAAAAGAGCCACUGAAUCCAACUUGGUUGAUGAGUGAGAUUACCCUUAUACCCUCAAAGUGAGAUAAUAACAUGAAAUUUUUUGCUUGACCGUGAUUCUUUGCAAUCUGGCCAUCUACUUAUAAUGUUUUGCCUUUAACUUUUUUUUUGAUGCUAACCUAGUCAUAGGUGAUGCAUUUAAUAUUUCUAAAGGAGCGAUGAUCUUUACCCUUUUCAUUGUGCCUUCUAGGAGGAUUUUGAAUUGGGUGGGUAUAAGCGGCUGUCUGACAAGU
rnacentral:snoRNA from 15 species